rnacentral:tRNA from 1 species
GGUGGCUCAGUGGUGGAGUACUUGCCUUGCAUGCAUGAGGCCCCGGGUUCGAUUCCCCAGCACCA